AAUCGUACGUAGAGUGUAAAGGCAAAAGAGAGCUUGAUUGCAAGACAUACAGGUCGAGCAAGGAUGAAAAUCGGACUUAGUGAUCCGGUGGUUCUGCGUGGAAGGGCCAUCGCUCAACGGAUAAAAGCUACCCUGGGGAUAACAGGCUUAUCUCCCCCAAGAGUCCACAUCGACGGGGAGGUUUGGCACCUCGAUGUCGGCUCAUCACAUCCUGGGGCUGUAGUAGGUCCCAAGGGUUGGGCUGUUCGCCCAUUAAAGUGGUACGCGAGCUGGGUUCAGAACGUCGUGAGACAGUUCGGUCCCUAUCCGUCGCAGGCGUAGGAAAUUUGAGAAGACCUGUCCUUAGUACGAGAGGACCGGGAUGGACGUACCUCUGGUGUACCAGUUGU
rnacentral:rRNA from 1 species